rnacentral:misc_RNA from 1 species
GAUGAGGAACGUAGCGAAAUGCGAUACGUAAUGUGAAUUGCAGAAUUCAGUGAAUCAUCGAGUCUUUGAACGCACAUUGCGCCCCCUGGUAUUCCGGGGGGCAUGCCUGUCCGAGCGUCAUUGCUGCCCUCAAGCACGGCUUGUGUGUUGGGCCUCCGUCCUCAUCCCGGGGGACGGGCCCGAAAGGCAGCGGCGGCACCGCGUCCGGUCCUCGAGCGUAUGGGGCUUCGUCACCCGCUCUUGUAGGCCCGGCCGGCGCUUGCCGACACAUCAAUCUUUUUUCCAGGUUGACCUCGGAUCAGGUAGGGAUACCCGCUGAACUUAAGCAUAUCAAUAAGCGGAGGA